GACGUAGGGCGCAAGCGUUGUCCGGAUUUACUGGGCGUAAAGAGCGUGUAGGCGGCCACGCAGGUCCGUUGUGAAAACUGGAGGCUCAACCUCCAGCUGUCGACGGAAACCGUGUGGCUAGAGUCCGGAAGAGGAGAGUGGAAUUCCUGGUGUAGCGGUGAAAUGCGCAGAUAUCAGGAAGAACACCCGUGGCGAAGGCGGCUCUCUGGGACGGUACUGACGCUGAGACGCGAAAGCGUGGGGAGCGAACAGG
rnacentral:rRNA from 1 species